rnacentral:rRNA from 1 species
GAUGAACGCUGGCGGCGUGCUUAACACAUGCAAGUCGAACGGUGAAGCCAAGCUUGCUUGGUGGAUCAGUGGCGAACGGGUGAGUAACACGUGAGCAACCUGCCCUGGACUCUGGGAUAAGCGCUGGAAACGGCGUCUAAUACUGGAUAUGAGACGUGAUCGCAUGGUCAACGUUUGGAAAGAUUUUUCGGUCUGGGAUGGGCUCGCGGCCUAUCAGCUUGUUGGUGAGGUAAUGGCUCACCAAGGCGUCGACGGGUAGCCGGCCUGAGAGGGUGACCGGCCACACUGGGACUGAGACACGGCCCAGACUCCUACGGGAGGCAGCAGUGGGGAAUAUUGCACAAUGGGCGGAAGCCUGAUGCAGCAACGCCGCGUGAGGGAUGACGGCCUUCGGGUUGUAAACCUCUUUUAGCAGGGAAGAAGCGAAAGUGACGGUACCUGCAGAAAAAGCGCCGGCUAACUACGUGCCAGCAGCCGCGGUAUUACGUAGGGCGCAAGCGUUAUCCGGAAUUAUUGGGCGUAAAGAGCUCGUAGGCGGUUUGUCGCGUCUGCUGUGAAAUCCCGAGGCUCAACCUCGGGCCUGCAGUGGGUACGGGCAGACUAGAGUGCGGUAGGGGAGAUUGGAAUUCCUGGUGUAGCGGUGGAAUGCGCAGAUAUCAGGAGGAACACCGAUGGCGAAGGCAGAUCUCUGGGCCGUAACUGACGCUGAGGAGCGAAAGGGUGGGGAGCAAACAGGCUUAGAUACCCUGGUAGUCCACCCCGUAAACGUUGGGAACUAGUUGUGGGGACCAUUCCACGGUUUCCGUGACGCAGCUAACGCAUUAAGUUCCCCGCCUGGGGAGUACGGCCGCAAGGCUAAAACUCAAAGGAAUUGACGGGGACCCGCACAAGCGGCGGAGCAUGCGGAUUAAUUCGAUGCAACGCGAAGAACCUUACCAAGGCUUGACAUACACCAGAACGGGCCAGAAAUGGUCAACUCUUUGGACACUGGUGAACAGGUGGUGCAUGGUUGUCGUCAGCUCGUGUCGUGAGAUGUUGGGUUAAGUCCCGCAACGAGCGCAACCCUCGUUCUAUGUUGCCAGCACGUAAUGGUGGGAACU